GGUUAAGCGAAUAAGCGUACACGGUGGAUGCCUAGGCAAUCAGAGGCGAUGAAGGACGUGCUAAUCUGCGAUAAGCGUCGGUAAGGUGAUAUGAACCGUUAUACCCGACGAUUUCCGAAUGGGGAAACCCAAUAUCCAAUGGAUAUUAUCAUUAACUGAAUACAUAGGUUAAUGAAGCGAACCGGGAGAACUGAAACAUCUCAGUACCCCGAGGAAAAGAAAUCAACCGAGAUUCCCCUAGUAGCGGCGAGCGAACGGGGAACAGCCCAGAGUCUUAAUCAAUAGCAGCAUCAGGAGAACGGUCUGGAAAGUCCGGCAGUAAAGGGUGAUAGCCCCGUAUCUGAAGAUGCUGUUAUUGUGAACUCGACGAGUAGGGCGGGACACGUGUUAUCCUGUCUGAAUAUGGGGGGACCAUCCUCCAAGGCUAAAUACUCCUGAUUGACCGAUAGUGAACCAGUACCGUGAGGGAAAGGCGAAAAGAACCCCGGCGAGGGGAGUGAAAAAGAACCUGAAACCGUGUACGUACAAGCAGUAGGAGCCUCUUCGUGAGGUGACUGCGUACCUUUUGUAUAAUGGGUCAGCGACUUAUAUUCUGUAGCAAGGUUAACCGUAUAGGGGAGCCGUAGGGAAACCGAGUCUUAACUGGGCGAAUGAGUUGCAGGGUAUAGACCCGAAACCCGGUGAUCUAUCCAUGGGCAGGUUGAAGGUUGGGUAACACUAACUGGAGGACCGAACCGACUAAUGUUGAAAAAUUAGCGGAUGACUUGUGGAUGGGGGUGAAAGGCCAAUCAAACCGGGAGAUAGCUGGUUCUCCCCGAAAGCUAUUUAGGUAGCGCCUCGUGAACUCAUCUUCGGGGGUAGAGCACUGUUUCGACUAGGGGGUCAUCCCGACUUACCAACUCGAUGCAAACUGCGAAUACCGAAGAAUGUUAUCACGGGAGACACACGGCGGGUGCUAACGUCCGUCGUGAAGAGGGAAACAACCCAGACCGCCAGCUAAGGUCCCAAAGUCAUGGUUAAGUGGGAAACGAAGUGGGAAGGCUCAGACAGCCAGGAUGUUGGCUUAGAAGCAGCCAUCAUUUAAAGAAAGCGUAAUAGCUCACUGGUCGAGUCGGCCCGCGCGGAAGAUGUAACGGGGCUAAACCAUGCACCGAAGCUGCGGCAGCGACACUAUGUGUUGUUGGGUAGGGGAGCGUUCUGUAAGCCUGCGAAGGUGUACUGUGAGGUAUGCUGGAGGUAUCAGAAGUGCGAAUGCUGACAUAAGUAACGAUAAUGCGGGUGAAAAACCCGCACGCCGGAAGACCAAGGGUUCCUGUCCAACGUUAAUCGGGGCAGGGUGAGUCGACCCCUAAGGCGAGGCUGAAAAGCGUAGUCGAUGGGAAACGGGUUAAUAUUCCCGUACUGGUGGUAACUGCGAUGGGGGAACGGAGAAGGCUAGGUUGUCCGGGCGACGGUCGUCCCGGUUCAAGCAUGUAGGCAGAGUGAUUAGGCAAAUCCGGUCACUUAAUGCUGAGGUGUGAUGACGAGCCACUAAGGUGGUGAAGCAAUUGAUGCCCUGCUUCCAGGAAAAGCCUCUAAGCUUCAGGUUACCAACAAUCGUACCCCAAACCGACACAGGUGGUCAGGUAGAGAAUACUCAGGCGCUUGAGAGAACUCGGGUGAAGGAACUAGGCAAAAUGGUGCCGUAACUUCGGGAGAAGGCACGCUGGCGGUAAGUGAAGUCCCUUGCGGACGGAGCCGAAGCCAGUCGAAGAUACCAGCUGGCUGCAACUGUUUAUUAAAAACACAGCACUGUGCAAACACGAAAGUGGACGUAUACGGUGUGACGCCUGCCCGGUGCUGGAAGGUUAAUUGAUGGGGUUAUCCUUAGGGAGAAGCUCUUGAUCGAAGCCCCAGUAAACGGCGGCCGUAACUAUAACGGUCCUAAGGUAGCGAAAUUCCUUGUCGGGUAAGUUCCGACCUGCACGAAUGGCGUAAUGAUGGCCAGGCUGUCUCCACCCGAGACUCAGUGAAAUUGAACUCGCUGUGAAGAUGCAGUGUACCCGCGGCAAGACGGAAAGACCCCGUGAACCUUUACUAUAGCUUGACACUGAACAUUGAGCCUUGAUGUGUAGGAUAGGUGGGAGACUAUGAAGUGUGGACGCCAGUCUGCAUGGAGUCAACCUUGAAAUACCACCCUUUAACGUUUGAUGUUCUAACCUAGGUCCAUAAUCUGGAUCGGGGACCGUGUCUGGUGGGUAGUUUGACUGGGGCGGUCUCCUCCUAAAGAGUAACGGAGGAGCACGAAGGUUGGCUAAGCAUGGUCGGACAUCAUGCGGUUAGUGCAAAGGCAUAAGCCAGCUUGACUGUGAGAGUGACGGCUCGAGCAGGUACGAAAGUAGGUCUUAGUGAUCCGGUGGUUCUGAAUGGAAGGGCCAUCGCUCAACGGAUAAAAGGUACUCCGGGGAUAACAGGCUGAUACCGCCCAAGAGUUCAUAUCGACGGCGGUGUUUGGCACCUCGAUGUCGGCUCAUCACAUCCUGGGGCUGAAGUAGGUCCCAAGGGUAUGGCUGUUCGCCAUUUAAAGUGGUACGCGAGCUGGGUUUAGAACGUCGUGAGACAGUUCGGUCCCUAUCUGCCGUGGGCGUUGGAAGAUUGAGAGGGGUUGCUCCUAGUACGAGAGGACCGGAGUGAACGCACCACUGGUGUUCGGGUUGUCAUGCCAAUGGCAUUGCCCGGUAGCUAAGUGCGGAAGAGAUAACCGCUGAAAGCAUCUAAGCGGGAAACUUGCCUCGAGAUGAGUCUUCCCUGUCACCUAGAGUGACCUAAAGGAACGUUUAAGACUAAGACGUUGAUAGGCUGGGUGUGUAAGCGUAGCGAUACGUUGAGCUAACCAGUACUAAUGAACCGUGAGGCUUAACCUG
rnacentral:rRNA from 1 species